rnacentral:rRNA from 1 species
AGAGUUUGAUCAUGGCUCAGAUUGAACGCUGGCGGCAUGCCUAACACAUGCAAGUCGAACGGUAACAGCAAGAGCUUGCCCUUGGCUGACGAGUGGCGGACGGGUGAGGAAUGCUUAGGAAUCUGCCCAGUAGUGGGGGACAACUCCGGGAAACCGGAGCUAAUACCGCAUACGCCCUACGGGGGAAAGCAGGGGAUCUUUCGGGACCUUGCGCUAUUGGAUGAGCCUAAGCCGGAUUAGCUUGUUGGUGGGGUAACGGCCUACCAAGGCGACGAUCCGUAGCUGGUCUGAGAGGAUGAUCAGCCACACUGGGACUGAGACACGGCCCAGACUCCUACGGGAGGCAGCAGUGGGGAAUAUUGGACAAUGGGCGAAAGCCUGAUCCAGCAAUGCCGCGUGUGUGAAGAAGGCCUGCGGGUUGUAAAGCACUUUCAGUAGUGAGGAAAAGCUUAAGGUUAAUAACCUUGAGUCUUGACGUUAACUACAGAAGAAGCACCGGCUAACUCUGUGCCAGCAGCCGCGGUAAUACAGAGGGUGCAAGCGUUAAUCGGAAUUACUGGGCGUAAAGCGCGCGUAGGCGGUUUAAUCAGUCGGAUGUGAAAGCCCCGGGCUCAACCUGGGAACUGCAUUCGAAACUGUUAAACUAGAGUAUGGUAGAGGGAAGUGGAAUUCCAGGUGUAGCGGUGAAAUGCGUAGAUAUCUGGAGGACAUCAGUGGCGACGCGACUUCUGGACAUACUGACGCUGAGGUGCGAAGCGUGGGAGCAACAGGAUUAGAUACCUGUAGUCACGCGUAAACGAUGUCAACUGGGUGUUGGGAGCUGACUCUUAGUAUCGAAGCUAACGCGAUAAGUGACCGCCUGGGGAGUACGGCCGCAAGGUUAAAACUCAAAUGAAUUGACGGGGCCCGCACAAGCGGUGGAGCAUGUGGUUUAAUUCGAUGCAACGCGAAGAACCUUACCUGGCCUUGACAUGUAGCGAACUUUCCAGAGAUGGAUUGGUGCCUUCGGGAACGCUAACACAGGUGCUGCAUGGCUGUCGUCAGCUCGUGUCGUGAGAUGUUGGGUUAAGUCCCGCAACGAGCGCAACCCUUGUCCUUAGUUGCCAACACGUAAUGGUGGGAACUCUAAGGAGACUGCCGGUGACAAACCGGAGGAAGGUGGGGAUGACGUCAAGUCAUCAUGGCCCUUAUGGCCAGGGCUACACACGUGCUACAAUGGCCGGUACAGAGGGUUGCCAACCCGCGAGGGGGAGCUAAUCCCAGAAAACCGGUCGUAGUCCGGAUUGGAGUCUGCAACUCGACUCCAUGAAGUCGGAAUCGCUAGUAAUCGCGAAUCAGAAUGUCGCGGUGAAUACGUUCCCGGGCCUUGUACACACCGCCCGUCACACCAUGGGAGUGGGUUGCAAAAGAAGUGGGUAGUCUAACCUUCGGGAGGACGCUCACCACUUUGUGAUUCAUGACUGGGGUGAAGUCGUAACAAGGUAUCCGUA